rnacentral:rRNA from 1 species
GAUCCUGGCUCAGGAUGAACGCUAGCGGCAGGCCUAACACAUGCAAGCCGAGCGGUAUUGUUUCUUCGGAAAUGAGAGAGCGGCGUACGGGUGCGGAACACGUGUGCAACCUGCCUUUAUCUGGGGGAUAGCCCUUUCGAAAAGGAAGAUUAAUACUCCAUAACAUAUUGAUUGGCAUCAAUUGAUAUUGAAAGCUCCGGCGGAUAGAGAUGGGCACGCGCAAGAUUAGCUAGUUGGUGAGGUAACGGCUCACCAAGGCGAUGAUCUUUAGGGGGCCUGAGAGGGUGAUCCCCCACACUGGUACUGAGACACGGACCAGACUCCUACGGGAGGCAGCAGUGAGGAAUAUUGGUCAAUGGGUGCAAGCCUGAACCAGCCAUCCCGCGUGAAGGACGACUGCCCUAUGGGUUGUAAACUUCUUUUGUAUAGGGAUAAACCUACCCUCGUGAGGGUAGCUGAAGGUACUAUACGAAUAAGCACCGGCUAACUCCGUG